GGGGAAUUUUCCGCAAUGGGCGAAAGCCUGACGGAGCAAUACCGCGUGAGGGAAGACGGCCUAUGGGUUGUAAACCUCUUUUUUCAGGGAGGAAUCAAUGACGUGUACCUGAAGAAUAAGCAUCGGCUAACUCCGUGCCAGCAGCCGCGGUAAGACGGAGGAUGCAAGUGUUAUCCGGAAUCACUGGGCGUAAAGCGUCUGUAGGUGGUUUAAUAAGUCAACUGUUAAAUCUUGGGGCUCAACCUCAAAAUCGCAGUCGAAACUAUUAGACUAGAGUAUAGUAGGGGUAAAGGGAAUUUCCAGUGGAGCGGUGAAAUGCGUAGAGAUUGGAAAGAACACCGAUGGCGAAGGCACUUUACUGGGCUAUAACUGACACUCAGAGACGAAAGCUAGGGUAGCAAAUGGGAUUAGAUACCCCAGUAGUC
rnacentral:rRNA from 1 species